GGUGAGUAAUACAUCGGAACGUGUCCUGUAGUGGGGGAUAGCCCGGCGAAAGCCGGAUUAAUACCGCAUACGCUCUACGGAGGAAAGGGGGGGAUCUUAGGACCUCCCGCUACAGGGGCGGCCGAUGGCAGAUUAGCUAGUUGGUGGGGUAAAGGCCUACCAAGGCGACGAUCUGUAGCUGGUCUGAGAGGACGACCAGCCACACUGGGACUGAGACACGGCCCAGACUCCUACGGGAGGCAGCAGUGGGGAAUUUUGGACAAUGGGGGCAACCCUGAUCCAGCAAUGCCGCGUGUGUGAAGAAGGCCUUCGGGUUGUAAAGCACUUUUGUCCGGAAAGAAAACGCCGUGGUUAAUACCCGUGGCGGAUGACGGUACCGGAAGAAUAAGCACCGGCUAACUACGUGCCAGCAGCCGCGGUAAUACGUAGGGUGCAAGCGUUAAUCGGAAUUACUGGGCGUAAAGCGUGCGCAGGCGGUCCGCUAAGACAGAUGUGAAAUC
rnacentral:rRNA from 1 species